rnacentral:misc_RNA from 1 species
AUAUUCUUCUUGUCCAUCUCUAAGUGACUUCUCUAUAAAGAGAGAUAUGGAUAAAUGGGAGAAACCAGUUGGAGAAGAUCGCUUUCGACGCCAACAAAGAGAUAACCCUUCUUUCUCUUCCACUCUUCUUGAUGCUAUUUACCGUUCGAUAGAUGAAUCCAACGGUAAAGGUGAGGAAGAGCAUAUUUUCUACAGAGAAACUAUAAGGAAGAAACACGGCAAUGGUUUAAAAGAAGAUGGUAAAGAAGAAAGGAUUGCAAGUCUGCAAAAAGCAUGCAUGAUAGAGAAAUGGAUGGAGGAAAAAGUAUGCUAUGAAAAGGUAGCAGCUAGGCGAAAAUCCAUGGGUGAUUUCGACAAAAAAAUUCGAAAAGAUUUCAAUCCUAAACCUCCUGUGUUGCUCAACUCCAGCUCUAGUUCCUCAGAAUCUAGCUGUGGUGGUGGGUUUUCUUCCUCAGAAUCUGAAUCUUUUUAUGGUCUCAACUCAUCAAGAUCAUCAUCAACCUAUGCCAUGCAAAAGCCUAAGUCUAUUCGAACCAGUGUUUCCGCUCGGCCGGAGAGAUAUGAAAGAGCUGUUGAUGAAAUUGCUAUGUAUCAGUAUAAUCAUCAUCAUGAGAGAAAUUUUGCACCAACUCAAAAGCCAAAACACGAAGGCAGUUUUGUGAAGACNNNGUGAAGACGAAAUCCAGAGCCUUAAAAAUUUAUGGUGAUCUCAAGAAGGCGAAGCAGCCAAUUUCACCUGGGGGUCGGCUUGCAAGCUUUCUCAACUCACUUUUCGCUGCGGGAAAUGCAAAGAAAGCCAAUAUUUCAUCGUCAUCUGCGUAUGAGGAAAGGA